AAGGAUCUCCGUUGGUGACCAGCGGAGGGAUCAUUACAGAGUUGCAAAACUCCCACAAACCAUCGCGAAUCUUACCCGUACGGUUGCCUCGGCGCUGGCGGUCCGGAAAGGCCCUCGGGUCCUCCCGGAUCCUCGGGUCUCCCGCUCGCGGGAGGCUGCCCGCCGGAGUGCCGAAACUAAACUCUUGAUAUUUUAUGUCUCUCUGAGUAAACUUUUAAAUAAGUCAAAACUUUCAACAACGGAUCUCUUGGUUCUGGCAUCGAUGAAGAACGCAGCGAAAUGCGAUAAGUAAUGUGAAUUGCAGAAUUCAGUGAAUCAUCGAAUCUUUGAACGCACAUUGCGCUCGCCAGUAUUCUGGCGAGCAUGCCUGUUCGAGCGUCAUUUCAACCAUCAAGCUCUGCUUGCGUUGGGGAUCCGCGGCUGCCCGCGGUCCCUCAAAAUCAGUGGCGGGCUCGCUAGUCACACCGAGCGUAGUAACUCUACAUCGCUAUGGUCGUGCGGCGGGUUCUUGCCGUAAAACCCCCCAUUUCUAAGGUUGACCUCGGAUCAGGUAGGAAUACCCGCUGAACUUAAGCAUAUCAAAA
rnacentral:rRNA from 1 species